rnacentral:miRNA from 11 species
CAUCUUACCGGGCAGCAUUAGA